UACAGAGGUCCCAAGCGUUGUUCGGAUUCACUGGGCGUAAAGGGUGCGUAGGCGGGUCUUAAGUCAGGGGUGAAAUCCUGGAGCUCAACUCCAGAACUGCCUUUGAUACUGAAGAUCUUGAGUUCGGGAGAGGUGAGUGGAACUGCGAGUGUAGAGGUGAAAUUCGUAGAUAUUCGCAAGAACACCAGUGGCGAAGGCGGCUCACUGGCCCGAUACUGACGCUGAGGCACGAAAGCGUGGGGAGCAAACAGG
rnacentral:rRNA from 1 species